AAGGGGAUGGGAAAGGUGGCCUCUGAAUCAAGCUACCGCCCCGGGAUGGGUUCGCGUCCCAUUAGCUUGUUGGUGGGGUAAAGGCCUACCAAGGCGACGAUGGGUAGCCGGCCUGAGAGGGUGAUCGGCCACACUGGGACUGGAACACGGCCCAGACUCCUACGGGAGGCAGCAGUGGGGAAUCUUGGGCAAUGGGCGCAAGCCUGACCCAGCGACGCCGCGUGUGGGAAGAAGGCCUUCGGGUCGUAAACCACUGUCAGGAGGGAAGAAAAGCAGUUUCCGAACAGGGGACUGUAUUGACGGUACCUCCAGAGGAAGCACCGGCCAACUCCGUGCCAGCAGCCGCGGUAAUACGGAGGGUGCAAGCGUUAUUCGGAAUCACUGGGCGUAAAGCGCGCGUAGGCGGCUGCGCAAGUCAGAUGUGAAAGCCCUCGGCUAAACCGGGGAAUUGCAUCUGAAACUGCGUAGCUAGAGUUCGGGAGAGGGCGGCGGAACUCCCGGUGUAGGGGUGAAAUCCGUAGAUAUCGGGAGGAACACCAGAGGCGAAGGCGGCCGCCUG
rnacentral:rRNA from 1 species